UUGCCCCUACGGGAGGCAGCAGUGGGGAAUAUUGCACAAUGGGGGAAACCCUGAUGCAGCGACGCCGCGUGGGGGAGGAAGUACCUCGGUAUGUAAAGCCCUAUCAGCAGGGAAGAAACAGGACAGUACCUGACUAAGAAGCCCCGGCUAACUACGUGCCAGCAGCCGCGGUAAUACGUAGGGGGCAAGCGUUAUCCGGAUUCACUGGGCGUAAAGGGAGCGCAGGCGGCAUGGCAGGUCUGAUGUGAAACCCC
rnacentral:rRNA from 1 species